GUGGCAGUAGAUCAAUGGUAGAGCUCCCGCUUAGUAUGCGGGAAGAUUUGGGUUAGAUUCCCGACUGCUUUG
rnacentral:tRNA from 1 species